rnacentral:rRNA from 1 species
CUUGGUCAUUUAGAGGAAGUAAAAGUCGUAACAAGGUUUCCGUAGGUGAACCUGCGGAAGGAUCAUUCACAAUGAGUGUUUUAUGGCACUCUUUAAAAAUCCAUAUCCACCUUGUGUGCAAUGUUUGUUGGGAGAGAGGCAACUCUUUCCCUUCACAAAUAUCAACCUAUAUCUUUAACAACAUUCGUCUGAUAACAUAUUAUGAAUAUACUUAAUUCAAAAUAUAACUUUCAACAACGGAUCUCUUGGCUCUCGCAUCGAUGAAGAACGCAGCGAAAUGCGAUACGUAAUGUGAAUUGCAGAAUUCAGUGAAUCAUCGAAUCUUUGAACGCAUAUUGCGCUCUUUGGUAUUCCGAAGAGCAUGCUUGUUUGAGUAUCAGUAAACACCUCAACCUCCUCUUGUUUUUUCAAAAGGAGGGUGGACUUGAGCUAUCCCAACAACCUUCACCGGUAGGCGGGCGGCUUGAAAUGCAGGUGCAGCUGGACUUUUAUCUGAGCUAAAAGCAUAUCUAUUUAGUCCUCGUCAAACAGGAUUAUUACUAUUGCUGCAGCUAACAUAAAGGAUAAUUGUCCUCAUUGCUGACUGAUGCAGGAUUUUACGACACUUUAUGUGUUGUUCAACUCGAUCUCAAAUCAGGUAAGACUACCCGCUGAACUUAAGCAUAUCAAUAAGCGGAGGA